rnacentral:lncRNA from 1 species
UUCCUUUCAGCCCUUAGCUUUAAAAAUGAUUCUAAUACGUUGCAAGUUAUGUUACAACAUUUUUAACUUUUUCUCUUUAUUCUAGGCAAGUAAAGCACUCCAAAGCUGUUAUCUUCAGGACUGUAUUUCCCAGAAAUAACUUUAUCCUGUUGCUUUUAUACAACUUAGUGGGAAACAUCAUUCUGUUCCUCCCAUUGUUGGGUCAUAUCUCUGCCUCUUGGGAAAAACCUUUUGUAAAACAACACAGGUGGAGGACUCAACCCUGGAAUAGUGCCCUGGAGCAGCAUGUUACCUUCCUUCCCUUCGGCAACGAUGGGCUGUUUUAAAACUGUCAAAGUCUCAUUCUCACUUCCAGCUGAGCUAGAAGAGGACAUUUCACAAUGUGCCAGCUGGUGUAUGUCUUGGAGGCCUUUGCUGUUCGCUUUGAGGGAGUCAAGAUUUUACCCUAGGAGAACACAGCGUACUGGUGUAAGGACAAACACCCAGCGCAGAUGGGAGUGAGGUGGGCUGCUAGGUGAAGUGGGUAGGAUCCAUGUGAACAGCUAUGAGAAAAAUAAAGUAAUAAUGAAACAGGACAUCUAAACCCCAGGAAAGGCACAGAUGCAUCCACAUAACCAAAAUGAGAACCUGAGACAUGACUAAGGACAGAAAAAAUACAACUUUCCCUAUAGAAGUGUUCUUUAAGCCAAAAAUCCAAAAUUAUUAUAUUGGCUAAAAAACAAACAAUGCAUUAUAACUUGUGAAGUUUCUUACAGCUACUCAAGGCCAUUGCAGUGAAAUCAUUCACAGACCUCUUUUCUUCCAGUCUUAAAAAUUUUGCCAUAGUGUCUGUGAAGCACCAUGAG